rnacentral:rRNA from 1 species
UACGUAGGGGGCUAGCGUUGUCCGGAAUCAUUGGGCGUAAAGCGCGUGUAGGCGGUUCGGUAAGUCUGCUGUGAAAGUCGGGGGCUCAACCCUCGAAUGCCGGUGGAUACUGGCGGGCUAGAGUACGGAAGAGGCGAGUGGAAUUCCUGGUGUAGCGGUGAAAUGCGCAGAUAUCAGGAGGAACACCAAUUGCGAAGGCAGCUCGCUGGGACGUAACUGACGCUGAGACGCGAAAGCGUGGGGAGCAAACAGG